rnacentral:rRNA from 1 species
GACGAACGCUGGCGGCGUGCCUAAUACAUGCAAGUAGAACGCACAGUUUAUACCGUAGCUUGCUACACCAUAGACUGUGAGUUGCGAACGGGUGAGUAACGCGUAGGUAACCUGUCUGGUAGCGGGGGAUAACUAUUGGAAACGAUAGCUAAUACCGCAUAAUAUUGAUUAUUGCAUGAUAAUUGAUUGAAAGAUGCUAUUGCAUCACUACCAGAUGGACCUGCGUUGUAUUAGCUAGUAGGUGAGGUAACGGCUCACCUAGGCGACGAUACAUAGCCGACCUGAGAGGGUGAUCGGCCACACUGGGACUGAGACACGGCCCAGACUCCUACGGGAGGCAGCAGUAGGGAAUCUUCGGCAAUGGACGAAAGUCUGACCGAGCAACGCCGCGUGAGUGAAGAAGGUUUUCGGAUCGUAAAGCUCUGUUGUAAGAGAAGAACGGGUGUGAGAGUGGAAAGUUCACACUGUGACGGUAUCUUACCAGAAAGGGACGGCUAACUACGUG